GUGUGUGUGUGUAUGUGUAUAUAUAUACAUACACACACACUUUAUAUAACCAAGAUACUUCUCGAAAUGAACCUCUUCAAGGAAUUUAUUUAAAAUAAACAAUCAAGGUACACAAAAAGUAAAGAAAAAAAACUUGCAUUACGGCAUCACCACCACAACAACAUUAACAUCAACAACACAAAUUAGAACAACAAGAAACGCACCAAACAUGGUUAGGGUUGUGCUUUAAUCUCAAUUUUUUUUUCGUAUUUUUUAAAAUAAUCUUUAGAGAUGUUUCUAAAUUCUAAACAAAAGAAAAUUGUUUAUUUUCGUCGUAAGGAAAUCGUUUGUUUCAUCCUCCGUUUCGUGAUUCUAGAUAAACGUGACAAGUUUAUAUCACUAGUAAGACAAAUACAGAGUGGUGUAGACAGGAUAGCAAGGACGAGACCUAUAUAUAUAUAUGUAUAUAUAUAUAGGUGUAUAAGGGAUAGAUAGAGGGGUGUGUGUAUGGAGUGUGUGAGUAUAUGGAAAGAGGGAUAUCUAGAGUUUAAAGAAAACGAUAGAUAGAUCGAUGCUCUUAAAAUUAGUACCCCGCCCCUUACCUAUCCCAGUAAAACGUGGGUUAGAGAACGUUAGGAGGAAGAACCGCAGGCGAUUGUCACUUGCUAACAUAUAUAUUUAUAUAUAUAUGUAUAUAUAUAUAUAUGUGUAUAUAUAUGUAUAUAUAUAUAUAGUGUAUGUGCUUAUGUGUGUAUAUAUUUAUACACAUAUUAAACACGCUGUAUAUGCUAUAAUGAAUUAUACGCGGGCAUGUUGCGUUCGCACACCUAUUUAAAUCAAUUCUACGCACAGAAAUGCAAUCAUAAGCCCAAUAUCAGACACAGAAAUGCUCAUAAACACAUGUAUCGUUGUAAAGUUAGCUGCGCACAAACACAAUUCACCCCGACACACAUAAUCAAACAGGCACCUAUGUAUACAUAGGGAUAUGUACAUAUAUACACACACAACUGUUUUAUACUCCUGUUAUGACAAUCACGUGUUUGACGUUACCAUGGAUAUUACAAUAUGAAGAAAAUCGAUAAGCGGAAGCGAUGAAGAGGCCGGAAGUUUGAGAGAAGCCAUUGGAUAACUUACAUCGAGGCAACCCUUCUCCAUUUGGGGUGAAGUAUCCCCUGGAUAUAUCAUCGUGGGAUUGUAUCAAGACGAAGACAACAUCUGAAGCCAUCAACACAUCAGAGGAAGAGACAAACAGACACGAAGAACGAGA